UGAAUACGAGAUGCUACGGCGUCGAAGCAGUCUAUGUCAUACUUCCAAGAAAAGCUUGCACUGUCAUAAACAAAUAAUGCCUGUACCAUAACCGACACAGGUGGGUAGGUAGAGUAUACUAAGGGGCGCGAGAUAACUCUCUCUAAGGAACUCGGCAAAAUGACUCCGUAACUUCGGGAGAAGGAGUGCCUUAUUUAUAAGGUUGCAAUAACAAGAUCCAAGCAACUGUUUACCAAAAACACAGGUCUCCGCUAAGUCGUAAGACGAUGUAUGGGGGCUGACGCCUGCCCAGUGCCAGAAGGUUAAAGAAGUUGGUUAGCAUCCGCGAAGCUGAUAACUGAAGCCCUGGUGAACGGCGGCCGUAACGAUCACGGUCCUAAGGUAGCGAAAUUCCUUGUCGGGUAAGUUCCGACCCGCACGAAAGGCGUAAUGAUUUGGAUACUGUCUCGGAGAGGGGCUCGGUGAAAUAGACUUGUCUGUGAAGAUGCGGACUACCUGCACCAGGACAGAAAGACCCUAUGAAGCUUUACUGUAACCUGAAAUUGAAAUUGGACUUUACUUGCGCAGUAUAGGUGGGAGGCGUUGAGAAUAUUCUUGCGGGAUUAUUGGAGCCAUCAGUGAGAUACCACUCUUGUAAUGUUAGAUUUCUAACUUUGUAUCAUUAUCUGGUCAAAGAACAGUUUCAGGCGGGCAGUUUGACUGGGGCGGUCGCCUCCUAAACGGUAACGGAGGCGCACAAAGGUUUCCUCUGAACGGGUAGAAAUCGUAUCUAGAGUGUAAAGGCAUAAGGAAGCUUGACUGUGAGACCUACAAGUCGAGCAGGGACGAAAGUCGGUCUUAGUGAUCUGACGGUGCUGAGUGGAAAGGCCGUCACUCAACGGAUAAAAGUUACUCUAGGAUAACAGGCUGAUCUCCCCCAAGAGUUCACAUCGACGGGGAGGUUUGGCACCUCGAUGUCGGCUCAUCGCAUCCUGGGGCGGUAGUACGUCCCAAGGGUUGGGCUGUUCGCCCACGAAAGCGGUACGCGAGCUGGGUUCAGAACGUCGUGAGACAGUUCGGUCCAUAUCCGGUGUAGGCGUUAGAAUAUUGAGAGGAGCCUUCUUUAGUACGAGAGGACCGAGAAGGACAUACCUCUGGUGUACCAGUUAUCGUGCCAACGGUAAACGCUGGGUAGCUAUGUGUGGAGUGGAUAACCGCUGAAAGCAUCUAAGUGGGAAGCCCACCUCAAGAUAAGUAUUCUCAU
rnacentral:rRNA from 1 species